rnacentral:rRNA from 1 species
UUUUUGAUCUGCUCAGGACGAACGCUGGCGGCGUGCCUAAUACAUGCAAGUCGAACGCUUCUUUCCUCCCGAGUGCUUGCACUCAAUUGGAAAGAGGAGUGGCGGACGGGUGAGUAACACGUGGGUAACCUACCCAUCAGAGGGGGAUAACACUUGGAAACAGGUGCUAAUACCGCAUAACAGUUUAUGCCGCAUGGCAUAAGAGUGAAAGGCGCUUUCGGGUGUCGCUGAUGGAUGGACCCGCGGUGCAUUAGCUAGUUGGUGAGGUAACGGCUCACCAAGGCCACGAUGCAUAGCCGACCUGAGAGGGUGAUCGGCCACACUGGGACUGAGACACGGCCCAGACUCCUACGGGAGGCAGCAGUAGGGAAUCUUCGGCAAUGGACGAAAGUCUGACCGAGCAACGCCGCGUGAGUGAAGAAGGUUUUCGGAUCGUAAAACUCUGUUGUUAGAGAAGAACAAGGACGUUAGUAACUGAACGUCCCCUGACGGUAUCUAACCAGAAAGCCACGGCUAACUACGUGCCAGCAGCCGCGGUAAUACGUAGGUGGCAAGCGUUGUCCGGAUUUAUUGGGCGUAAAGCGAGCGCAGGCGGUUUCUUAAGUCUGAUGUGAAAGCCCCCGGCUCAACCGGGGAGGGUCAUUGGAAACUGGGAGACUUGAGUGCAGAAGAGGAGAGUGGAAUUCCAUGUGUAGCGGUGAAAUGCGUAGAUAUAUGGAGGAACACCAGUGGCGAAGGCGGCUCUCUGGUCUGUAACUGACGCUGAGGCUCGAAAG